rnacentral:rRNA from 1 species
UACGGAGGAUGCAAGCGUUAUCCGGAUUCAUUGGGUUUAAAGGGUGCGCAGGUGGGUUUGUAAGUCAGUGGUGAAAUUCUGCCGCUUAACGGUAGGACUGCCAUUGAUACUGCGAAUCUUGAGUGUGGUUGAGGUAGGUGGAAUGUGUUGUGUAGCGGUGAAAUGCAUAGAUAUGACACAGAACUCCGAUUGCGAAGGCAGCUUACUAAGCCAUUACUGACACUGAGGCACGAAAGCGUGGGGAGCGAACAGGAUUAGAUACCCUGGUAGUCCACGCCGUAAACGAUGUUCACUCGCUGUUUGCGAUACACAGCAAGCGGCUGAGCGAAAGCAUUAAGUGAACCACCUGGGGAGUACGAUCGCAAGGUUGAAACUCAAAGGAAUUGACGGGGGCCCGCACAAGCGGAGGAACAUGUGGUUUAAUUCGAUGAUACGCGAGGAACCUUACCUGGGCUUAAAUGUAGAUUGCAUAAGGUGGAAACAUCUUUUCCCUUCGGGGCUAUUUGCAAGGUGCUGCAUGGUUGUCGUCAGCUCGUGCCGUGAGGUGUCGGGUUAAGUCCCAUAACGAGCGCAACCCCUAUCGUUAGUUGCCAGCGGGUCAAGCCGGGGACUCUAGCGAGACUGCCACCGUAAGGUGAGAGGAAGGUGGGGAUGACGUCAAAUCAGCACGGCCCUUAUGUCCAGGGCUACACACGUGUUACAAUGGCAAGUACAAAGGGCAGCUACACGGCGACGUGAUGCUAAUCUCUAAAGCUUGUCCCAGUUCGGAUUGGAGUCUGCAACCCGACUCCAUGAAGUUGGAUUCGCUAGUAAUCGGAUAUCAGCCAUGAUCCGGUGAAUACGUUCCCGGGCCU